GUGGCUCCCGAGGAGGAAAACAGUUCCGCGGGCCCGCUGUGGGAAUAGCCGUGAAUCCCUCAAUGGAAGGGGCCUCAGUGGUGCCAGGCAGCUGCUCCACAAGAGAAUUGGGCCAUUUUCUCCAGGGGGCCCAACUCUCUCUAGUGUUUUUGUCAUGACAGCCUAGGUGGUAGAAGCUGAGGCCAAGGCCGCCUCUAAGGAAUGCUGCCUCCUACAGGGGUCUGACUUCAGGCUUUCCUUGUAUUGAGGCGGGAGCCCUGGAGGGUGCUCAGAGGAUCUCCUCCUCCCUGCAGGGCCCUCUAACGAGGAGAAGAGAAUCAGGUGAGUCAAAAUGAAGCAAAGCCUUGUGCGGCGCUUGAAGCCCACAGCCCACCUGGGCCCUAAGCAAGUGCAGGUGACUCAGAUCUGGUUCCUCUUCUGGCCCUUGGAGCUCUUUGCUACCCUUGCACUCCUCUGCGUGCUCGACUGCCCAGGCCUGGCUGCCACUGCAAUGCCCGGCGCCCCAGACCUUGCCUGGCAAAUGUGCCGCUGCUGGAUACCAUUCCUAGUCUCAUUCCCAGGGAAUCCAGAGGCAAGUCUGGGCUGAUACGCCCUAUGAGAUACAAUGGGCAAGGUAGGUGUUUGCCUUUUGACUGAGACCAUCUAUAAACAAGGCUGGGAUCCCAGGUCUGGCUCUGGGGCAGGGGAGCUCCAGGCCCUCGCCCUGGCAGCACAGUGAGGGAGGGACUCGCGGCUUUCAGCACCUCUUAAAUCAUCCCAGAGGGAGAGCCACUUACUUCCGCACGCACAGGCUGCCGCCGGCUCUGUCACAAGAAGAUGAACUACAAGUAAUAAAAUCAAGAUGAAGUUCUAUGUAAAUCUUUCCAGCUCACAAAGAUUGUAGAAAGUUGGAGAUGAAAAGGAUAUUAAAGACCUUCUAGUUCUACCUCGUCAUUCUGCAGCUGUAAAAACUGAGGCCCAUUCAGACAACCUGAGGAUUUUCUUAACCUUUCAAGUGACUAUAUUAUAUAUUUUCAUCCUGUUGAGGUGCGUUAGCUAGAUAGAUACUGAAAAUGAAAUGAAAGUGUACUUUCAAACUUGUAUGUGUUGCUUUUUAUGUGUGUGUAGAUAGAUAGAUAGAUGGAUAGACAGAUAUUCCUAUACUUUUAAACACUUAACCUCUUUCCAGAAAGGACUGGCAGCAUCUUCUAAUGAAAACGCAGAAGAAGUACGGCCAAAAACCAUUAACACUAAAAAGGAAGGAAAAGCCCAGUAGCAAUCAGGCAGCAGCUGAGCAGCGUGACAGGUGAUGGACAGGCUGUCAUUCCCCACCUGAGCUGAUGGAUGACCUUCGCCCUGAAGGUUCUGAUAUUCUAGGCAAAGAAGAAACUGUUAUGAAUUGAAUAGCUUUAUUAUUUUAAAAGUGUAAACAUUUAGAACAGAGGUUCUCAAAUUAUAGUCCAGGGACUCCUGGGGUUCUCCAAGCCCUUUCAGGGGGUCCACAGAUCACAACUAUUUUAAUGAAAAUCCCAUUCUCUUGAGUAUACUGUGGAGUUUUCUAGAGGCCACAUGACAGGUAAUAUUACCAUAGAUUGAAGGCAGAAGCAGAGACGAGAAUCCAGCUAUCUUCUACUAAGCCAGACAGUCAAGAGAUUUUCAAAUAUUUUAAAUAAUGUCACUCAUAAUUUAUUUUUAUUUUGGAAAAUACAUUUUCACAAAACAUUAUGUUGGUAUAUUAUGAGUAUUGCUAUUAUUUCAAAUUAACAUUUAAUUUUGGUUUUAAUUUCUAAUAUUGCAAGUAUCAAUGGAUAUGUCCUAUAUAAGCAAAAACUCUUUGGGGUUCUCAACAAUUUUUUAGAGUAUAAAGGAGUCCUGAGAACAAAACAUUUGAGAACUGUUGAUCAAAAAUAUUACUAUUAUUUGUGCAACUCAGAUGGUGAUUUUUGCCCCAAAGGUUUCUUUCUAGAAGGCAUUGGUCAUGUCUACAUUUGAUCCCAUGGCAAACUGAAAUCAUUUUAUGACUAGAUGAAGUAAGCUUUUUGUACACAUGUAUUCAUUUAUUCCUCAUUUAUCUGUUCAAGAAAUGUUCACUGAGCACGUGUUCUACAGAGUCCAGGUACCGUGCUGACUCUGAAGACAGCGACGGGCGAGACUAACUGGCUGCAUCCUCCUGGAGACUGUGAUUUCGUUUGCAAAGGAGGAACAAGGAUGACUUGAAAAUAAUCCCGGGUCAACGUCAAACCAGAUGGAAACUGCUUUUGUUUAUCCUCACAUAAACUACCAAUUUAAAGAAAAUACUACUUAUUUUCCUAAGUCUGAAGAGUUGAGGUUAAAGAAUUUCCCGGCAGGAGCACACCAUGUGCCAGGUAUUGUAUUCACUGAUGAUUCAAGUUACAGCAGCCCUAGCCUGUCAUUAUCGUGUUUAAAGAACUGGACUUUUGGAGGGAGCGAUCAGUAACUUCACUGAGUGAGCAAGCGAGCAGUUCACCGCAUACCUGAAACAGGACUCAAAGCACCGCCACUGACGCGCAGCCAUUCAGGGAAAAGGCACAAAGUAUCAGUGUGGAGGGAGUCCAGGAGUCUUCGAGCUGAUACCGGCAGCGCUGACUUACUCCCACAGUCCUGCAGCAGGCUGCGAGCAGAGAUACGGCCUGGCAGUGUGUCAUGGGAAUUUGUGACUGUUUCUCUGGCUGUGUGAUGAGAUUUUUGGCUGCCUAGAAACGUUGGUGGUUGGAACCCCCCGGGCUAGUGUUCUGUUAACCUAGUAAGUAGAAAGGAAAGUCUUUCCUGGAAUUCUGAAUUUUAAAAACCUGUUUCAAAAAAGCAAACAAAAAAAACCCAAACAUAAUUUCAGCACAUUCAAACAACAGCAAUAAUAAUAAUAAUAACAAAAACUGAGCUAUAUAAAAGCUCUAUAAAGAGCGAACCUUCUCCCUCCCAACAUCAGCCAUUUCUAGAACAUAGUUUCACGAGAAGGGAAGGAAAGGAGAUGGUUGUUUGAUACUAGUUCCUAGGCACUUCCCAGGAAAUGGGAUCAGGGAAGCCGGAGCAGUCCCAAGAUCAGAAAUCAGGACGCUCCUCUUACUUUGUCCUGGGAUACAGGACCACUGAUGCUCUUCCCUGGGCAUCAGCACCAGAUGGUGGCUUUCCUAUGAGACUCUACAUCAUCGGCCUGGCCUCUGGGUCUGACCCAGUGCUGCUGGCGGGGCCUCUCUCUCUCCUGGUUCCUCUUGUGCCCUACAGAGUCAAUCAGUGGGAUCAGGACAACUGAUGGAUCUUGUUCAUGCUUUACUGGCCUACCGCCUCCACUGGGCUGCAAGCUCCUUAAGGACAGGGACAUGUCUUGUUCACCAAAGUAGCCUAGCCUACUAGUUCACCAGCACCUAGCUCAACCCCAGCCCCAAAGUCAGCCCUCAGUAAAGGUUUUUGAACUGUGCUAUUAAAUGAAGUGCAAAGGUCCAAACG
ensembl:lncRNA